UCUCCCUCCCUCUUUCUCUCUAUCGUCCCCCCCCUCUCUCUCUCAUGAAAUUAUUUCCUGUCCCCUGACAGAGACCAAUGAGAUUUUAGUCAAGCCUACGAGGAGGGAACUCCCACCUGAGAUCCAACGGAAACCCUCUGCACACUUGAUAGGCUCCUCCCUGUUAGUGGGUGAGGAUAGUGUCGUUAAGUGGGAAUCAGACAAGGGCCUGUCUGCCUUCACAUAUCAGAUGGACUACAAAGAUGGCCACCUGGUAGCACAGAGGAAUGGGCACUACUAUGUCUACUCCAAAGUGCACUUUGUUGAAGACUGCUUUCUGUUCAAACACAAGGUGAUGAGGUUCACCGAGGGUUACAAAGACAAACCCACUUGUGAUGAUGAAAGCUAACAGGUUCCAUUGUCCUUCCCAGGAUUCCAGACCGAAAAAGAUUUCUCAUCAGAAUCUUCUGAACAGCUACCUGGGCGGAGUCUUUCAUCUGUUGCCUGGAGACAUCAUCUACGUAACCGUGGACAACGGAACGCUGCUGAGACUUGGAGCUGAAGAUAAUUUCAUGGGGGCAUUCAUGAUUUAGGAGACGGUGUGUAUUGACACACACACACACACACACACAUACAUUUGUCAAUCAGAUUUGUGUGUCGGUUAUAUUAUUUCAAUGUAUAGAUUCUAACCAAGGUGUGUUAUAGAGAAUCACACUAGAAAAUAGACAAUUGGCUUUUUAAAGGUAUUUUAACCUUGAGACAACAUCUGCAGCUAUUACCGUGAAUCUCGGCAAAUGGUGGGGAAAAUGUAUUUAAAACAUCCAUUGUCGGCUUGUCUAGUGUAGUGUUUCUCAAUCCUGGUCCUGGGGACCCAAAAGGGUACAAAAACCUGCUGAGGAGUUGAUUACUUGAACUGUGGGAGUACUACAAUCAACAGCACCACGACCAGGACUGAGAACCACUGGACUGGUGCUACAAUCAACAGCACAAGGACUGAGAAACACUGGGCUGGUGCUACAAUCAACAGCACCAGGACUGAGAACCACUGGACUGGUGCUACAAUCAACAGCACCAGGACUGAGAAACACUGGACUGGUGCUACAAUCAACAGCACCAGGACUGAGAACCACUGGACUGGUGCUACAAUCAACAGCACCAGGACUGAGAACCACUGGACUGGUGCUACAAUCAACAGCACCAGGACUGAGAACCACUGGACUGGUGCUACAAUCAACAGCACCAGGACUGAGAACCACUGGACUGGUGCUACAAUCAACAGCACCAGGACCAGGACUGAGAACCACUGGACUGGUGCUACAAUCAACAGCACCAGGACUGAGAACCACUGGACUGGUACUACAAUCAACAGCACCAGGACCAGGACUGAGAACCACUGGACUGGUGCUACAAUCAACAGCACCAGGACUGAGAACCACUGGACUGGUGCUACAAUCAACAGCACCAGGACUGAGAACCACUGGACUGGUGCUACAAUCAACAGCACCAGGACUGAGAACCACUGGACUGGUGCUACAAUCAACAGCACCAGGACUGAGAACCACUGGACUGGUACUACAAUCAACAGCACCAGGACCAGGACUGAGAACCACUGGACUGGUGCUACAAUCAACAGCACCAGGACUGAGAACCACUGGACUGGUACUACAAUCAACAGCACCAGGACCAGGACUGAGAACCACUGGACUGGUACUACAAUCAACAGCACCAGGACUGAGAACCACUGGACUGGUACUACAAUCAACAGCACCAGGACCAGGACUGAGAACCACUGGGCUACUGGGCUCUUUUAUACCUUGUAUUGGAUUGAAUCCUGGCUUUGUUGCUUUUGGAUGCUGGACAUUUAUAUUGAAGUAAAACAGUAUCAAAGUAUAGGAUUGAGUCCCUGUCUUGUUUAUAUAUGGUUCUAUGUUUAUUUAUAUAUGUAUAUAUAUAUACAGUUGAAGUCGGAAGUUUACGUACACCUUAGCCAAAUACAUUUAAACUCUGUUUAUCACAAUUCCUGACAUUCAAUCCUAGUAAAAAUUCCCUGUUUUAGGUCAAUUAGGAUUACCACUUUAUUUUAAGAAUGUGAAAUGUCAGAAUAAUAGUAGGAAGAAUGAUUUAUUUCAGCUUUUAUUUCUUUCAUCACAUUCCCAGUGGGUCAGAAGUUUACAUAUACUCAAUUAGUAUUUGGUAGCAUUGCCUUUAAAUUGCUUUAACUUGGGUCAAACGUUUCGGGUAGCCUUCCACAAGCUUCCCACAAUAAAUUGGGUGAAUUUUGGCCCAUUCCUCCUGACAGAGCUGGUGUAACUGAGUCAGGUUUGUAAGCCUCCUUGCUCGCAGACACUUUUUCAGUUCUGCCCACACAUUUUCUAUGGGACUGAGGUCAGGGUUUUGUGAUGGCCACUCCAAUACCUUGACUUUGUUGUCCUUAAGCCAUUUUGCCACAACUUUGGAAGUAUGCUUGGGGUCAUUGUCCAUUUGGAAGACCCAUUUUGUUUCAAUAUAACCUCUUAAUUUUACUGCCUCAUGAUGCCAUCUAUUUUGUGAAGUGCACCAGUCCCUCCUGUAGCAAAGCACCCCCACAACAUGAUGCUGCCACCCCCGUGCUUCACGGUUGGGAUGGUGUUCUUCGGCUUGCAAGCCUCCCCCUUUUUCCUCCAAACAUAACGAUGGUCGUUAUGGCAAAACAGUUCUAUUUUUGUUUCAUCAGACCAGAGGACAUUUCUCCAAAAAGUAUCUUUGUCCCCAUGUGCAGUUGCAAACCGUAGUCUGGCUAUUUUAUG